AACGAACGCUGGCGGCAUGCCUAACACAUGCAAGUCGAACGAGACCUUCGGGUCUAGUGGCGCACGGGUGCGUAACGCAUGGGAACCUGCCCUUAGGUUCGGAAUAACUCCCCGAAAGGGGUGCUAAUACCGGAUAAUGUCUUCGGACCAAAGAUUUAUCGCCGUUGGAUGGGCCCGCGUUGGAUUAGCUAGUUGGUAGGGUAAAAGCCUACCAAGGCGACGAUCCAUAGCUGGUCUGAGAGGAUGAUCAGCCACACUGGGACUGAGACACGGCCCAGACUCCUACGGGAGGCAGCAGUGGGGAAUAUUGGACAAUGGGCGAAAGCCUGAUCCAGCCAUGCCGCGUGAGUGAUGAAGGCCUUAGGGUUGUAAAGCUCUUUUACCCGGGAUGAUAAUGACGGUACCGGGAGAAUAAGCUCCGGCUAACUCCGUG
rnacentral:rRNA from 1 species